GAACCCGAUUAUUUACCCGAUUCACAAUCGCGCUGCAUUUAAGCCCGGUGGCUUGGACUGGGUCUGCAGCAGCCCGGACUCGGCCGACAGGGUGCGGUGCAUCCUGGGAAUGCUCACGCCGCUGCUGUAGCCCUCCUUAUCGCUGCCACGACUCUGGGCGACACCGGACGCUGCAGGUAACUGAUCCCUAACCAGAUUCAACAUCUCUGGGGCUUCUGAAGACCUCUGACCAGAAAUGUGGCAGCAUGAAAACACACAGACAUCUUCUUGCUAGACUUUGCUUGGCCUGGAUUUGUGCAUUUCUGAAACUGGAGGAUCAGUAGAUAUUGGCCUGGGGACAGUCAGUGGCUCAGUGGACUGAAUCUCUAUGCCUGUGAUCAGAAGAUUGCUAGUUCAAGACCUGGCCUCAACAGAAUAGUCAUAUAUCUGUGGGCCCUUGAGAAAGGCCCUUACC